rnacentral:rRNA from 1 species
AACAGUUGGAAACGACUGCUAAUACCGCCAUAACGCAUAGGUAUCGCAUGGUACUUAUGCCAAAGAUUUAUCGCUCUGAGAUGGGCUCGCGUCUGAUUAGCUAGUUGGUGGGGUAACGGCCCACCAAGGCGACGAUCAGUAGCCGGACUGAGAGGUUGAACGGCCANAUUGGGACUGAGAUACGGCCCAGACUCCUACGGGAGGCAGCAUG